CGCAAAACAGACCAGUAUCUGCGAAGUUCGAUACACGAUUGCCUGAAAUUCCAGUACUUUUGCUACGUUUAACAUUGUUGGUAAAACUGUUAUAAUAUCUAAAUUGAAGUGACGCUAUGGCUCUGUUAUUUACAGCAGCUGGUGCCGGGCCACUCGAAGAAUUCCAAACAGCAAGAAGGGAUUAAAUCAACUGAAAGCAAUAUGUUUAUUUUAAAACUUAUUGGACAAUAGAUGAAUGUGUGUGCUUACAUGACGUGGAUCCUUCCUUUUGUUUUAUUAAUUUUUCUAAUUGAUAAGAUUCUUCUCAUUUAUGUCGCUCGCUAGUGGUCUUCAUUGAUAAACUUUUGAUCUUUAUUUCGACUGAGUUUUAGCUGAUUGUGGUUGUGGCUUAAAAAUAAGUAAAUCUAUUUCAUCUAUUUUGCUUUAAAAUUCAUGUUAAUAGAUGUUUUUAUACCGUUAGAUUAUUAUGUUGUAUUUUUCAU